rnacentral:rRNA from 1 species
GACGAACGCUGGCGGCGUGCUUAACACAUGCAAGUCGAGCGGAAAGGCCACUUCGGUGGUACUCGAGCGGCGAACGGGUGAGUAACACGUGAGUAAUCUGCCCCUGGCUUUGGGAUAGCCACCGGAAACGGUGAUUAAUACCGGAUACGACCACUUCUCGCAUGGGAUGGUGGUGGAAAGUUUUUUCGGCCCGGGAUGUGCUCGCGGCCUAUCAGCUUGAUGGUGAGGUAAUGGCUCACCAUGGCUUCGACGGGUAGCCGGCCUGAGAGGGUGACCAGUCACACUGGGACUGAGGCACGGCCCAGACUCCUACGGGAGGCAGCAGUGGGGAAUAUUGGACAAUGGGCGGAAGCCUGAUCCAGCAACGCCGCGUGAGGGAUGACGGCCUUCGGGUUGUAAACCUCUUUCAGCAGGGACGAAGCGCAAGUGACGGUACCUGCAGAAGAAGCACCGGCCAACUACGUGCCAGCCGCCGCAGUAA